rnacentral:rRNA from 1 species
UACGUAGGGGGCAAGCGUUGUCCGGAUUUAUUGGGCGUAAAGAGCGUGUAGGCGGCCAGAUAGGUCUGCUGUGAAAACUCGAGGCUCAACCUCGAGCUGUCGGCGGAAACCAUCCGGCUAGAGUCCGGAAGAGGAGAGUGGAAUUCCCGGUGUAGCGGUGAAAUGCGCAGAUAUCGGGAAGAACACCUGUGGCGAAGGCGGCUCUCUGGGACGGUACUGACGCUGAGACGCGAAAGCGUGGGGAGCAAACAGG